GCCGGGCUCCCUCCGGCAGAGGAGCCCGCUCCUUCCUCUCGGGAGCUGAAUGAGUGUGGAGACAGAACUUGCCUUGAACUAACUCUGUUGCCGCCGGGGAAGACAUCCGCCUUUUCGUUCCAUUUUGGGCGGCUGCGGGCAGGGCAGCCCGGGUGGAGAUUUGCAGGAGUGCAGCUCUUCCCGGUGUCCGCAGGCCGGGGAGACGGGGGGUUCUCCUUCCUCAGGCCUGGCUCCUCACAGCAGCCUCUCUUGGACCCCGGUGCCAGAGGAAAGAGGCGAGCACAGCGCGCCCCAGCCCGUGCCCGCGCAUUUCUGGGGCAGACAUCCUCGCCGGGAAAUGGCUUUAUUUAGACAGAGAACAGGCAGGAGAAUCCAAACUCCAGGCCUCAUCCGACAGCACAUCCCGGUGCCAAAAAGGCCAAAGGAGUUGUAAUUGCUGUCAGAACUGAGCUUUCAGCAGGCCCCUGAGAGGAGAGACAGUGAAGAAAAAAAACAAUCCUCCGUUUCCUUGGCCCCCAAAAUGCCUGUAAACUUUGACCUGCUGACAGAGAAAGGCCAGCGGUGGAAAGGGCGUGCUGUGGAGUCAUGACCUCUGCUAAUGGACCUCCUGCUUGGGAAGCUGUUCAGUACUGCCACCUGCUCUCCCCAGAGGCAUUAAAUAAAGUAUUAAAAAGUUUUGUAA